AGCAGACUACCCAAAUUCAAACCCCUCAAAGGUAUCUUCAAGGAAAUUGCCUCAUUUUGUUUAGCCUGUUUACUUCUUCCAAUGCGGUAGUAAAAGUACCAAGUUCCCUGUCAUACUCUACACUGAGCAUUUGGGAGCCUGACACACAUUAAGUAAUUUAUGAGAAGACUGGGAUGGACUAAUUUUUGGUCCUGCUUUCAUAGUCCCUGAAAGAGCCUUCAGGCAGUGUCAAGAGAAACCCAGGUGUUUACCUCUAGAUCUGAGGGUGACUGAAAUCAGCCCAGCUUCAAGCUAUUAAGAAAUAGAAGCAUAGCUUGGUCUCCAAAGGGAAUACUGGAAUGCUGUUUCAAAUUUUAAGAGGAACAGAUUUCAGAUCAGCAAAAACAGAUGUCCACAAAGAGGAAAGUUAAAAUAUCAAAUGCGACAGAAGACAAGAAUUACGAGGAGGAAAGAAAACCUCUGAAUUUUGCAGCCAGAUCUUUAGUGUUUCUACAGUGGAAAGGCUAUGAACUUCUACUGGACUGGGAAAUUACAUUACUUAGAGAAUGCAGAGCACAAGAAUACUGGAGACCUGGCCAAUGUGAUCUUCUCUAAGGUGACUCAGAGUGGAGGUAUUUUCUCAUGCUCUGAAGAGACUCUGCCUUCUACCUACUUUCACGUAGACCACCUUACUUCAAGACAGGAAAUGCUCCUUCAUCACGUACUCUCCAAACUUUCUUUUGACUCCCUCUCCAUCCUGAAGCCACUUUCAUCCCCUGUUGUAAGAAUAAAGAAGCAAUCCUGUUCUAUUAUUUACCUCUUGGAUCUACUGUAAAAGGUUAUUUAAUCUGA